rnacentral:rRNA from 1 species
GGGCGGCUUACCAUGCAGUCGAGCGGUAACAGGGGGUGCUUGCACCCCGCUGACGAGCGGCGGACGGGUGAGUAAUGCAUAGGAAUCUGCCCAGUAGUGGGGGAUAGCCCGGGGAAACCCGGAUUAAUACCGCAUACGCCCUUUGGGGGAAAGCAGGGGAUCUUCGGACCUUGCGCUAUUGGAUGAGCCUAUGUCGGAUUAGCUAGUUGGUGGGGUAAAGGCCUACCAAGGCGACGAUCCGUAGCUGGUCUGAGAGGAUGAUCAGCCACAUCGGGACUGAGACACGGCCCGAACUCCUACGGGAGGCAGCAGUGGGGAAUAUUGGACAAUGGGGGCAACCCUGAUCCAGCCAUGCCGCGUGUGUGAAGAAGGCUUUCGGGUUGUAAAGCACUUUCAGUGAGGAGGAAAACCUUCUGGUUAAUACCCAUGAGGCUUGACGUUACUCACAGAAGAAGCACCGGCUAACUCCGUGCCAGCAGCCGCGGUAAUACGGAGGGUGCAAGCGUUAAUCGGAAUUACUGGGCGUAAAGCGCGCGUAGGUGGUUUGAUAAGCGAGAUGUGAAAGCCCCGGGCUUAACCUGGGAACGGCAUUUCGAACUGUCAGGCUAGA